AGGAGCUACAUUUAACCAUCCGCGCUAGACAACAGAAACAGACACCGGCACAGGCUGGGCCAGCAGCAUGGCCCGCUCACACCUGCCUCUCCAGGUUACACAGUUCAGGAUCCAAGUCCUGUGCAAAUGCAUCUGACUGGCGAACAGAAAUCCCAUCAAGAACAGCUGCAGGGAGACUGGGGUCACGGUUUUCAGCUCCUGGCCACUGCGGUCCAGGAAGGCCAGCCAGACCAGGCCUAAGCCAAUCCCCCACAUCCUCCAUGAGGGGACCUGCCAAGAGCGUCCAGGACUCCGCGCCGCCCUCCGUGCUAUGUGCUGUGGGGCCAGCUGCCUCCCAGCCAUGGACCACACCUGCUCAGAGUUCCUUAGAAGCCGGGCUCCUUGCCUUGCUGCCUUGGCUCUGGUGACCUCUGCAUUUUGCAGACACCCGGGAGGAGCUGCCCAAGACGGCAGCCCCACUCCAGACCCUGUCUGAUGGGCCGUGCACGUCUGCACAUUCCACAGAAUGUGACCAGCUGUGGAGCUCAAUACAAAAUGGCCCUCUGCUGGCCGGGCCCUGACUUCAGCCUGGACACUCGUCCCCAUGUCCUGCCCAGAUGAUCACUGGGCAGAGCCGGAGAUUCCUGGCUG
rnacentral:lncRNA from 1 species